GUCCCCCGCCAGGUAACCAAACCAAUCACUAACAUCAUCUUCAAUUUCUCCAUUUCCACCUCUGCCUUAAAAGUAAAAUCAUCAUCUACACGCGCCGCUGCGAACUCCGGCAAGUUCAUUUCUCCGUUCACCUCUAUAGCUCCUCUUAAACCUUAUCUCCUUUCGGAAUGGAAAUCUAUUCUCUGUGGAUGGCUCUGUAGUGUAAUAUCUGUUUACUCU
rnacentral:misc_RNA from 1 species